AAAUCUAAAAAGAGCCUCUCACCUGAGGCCUUCACCUGAGAGCUGGAGCCUGUGCGAUGGAUUAUCUGGACAGGGACCCCAAUGAACAGGGCUCUGCUGGAGUGAGGAAGCUGACUGAGGGAAGAACCAGAAGGCUGCCAAAAUACAAUUGUGUGCCUUUAAAGGAAAUAACAACAAGAAUUAGGAGCGCCCUGGAGGCAAGGUCUGCUGCUGGGGAAACCAAACCACAGUAACUUCAGAAAUAUAUACUUGGAAUAUGUCAUGUAUUAAUGGGUAAAGACACCGUGGAUAUGAAGGAAAUCACCUAUGGGAGAAUAUUAAGAAGAGAAGAAGGGGCUGCUGGCUGUAGUGAAAUGUAUAAAAAGGAGAGUGUGAUCCUAGUUUCUGUCUCUAACUAUGAGUUACUUGUGAUUAACUUCAAAUAUUCUCUCCAUAAGAAGAGGCCCAGAAGAAGAAGAUGAGCUUCAGUUAUUCUAGCACAACUGCUGUGAUAUUUGUAAAUAUUCAAAACCUAUAAUAAAAUGUAUAAAAGGAAACUCCAUUUGAAAUGAUUUGAAAUCUCACAUGGAAAUCUAUUUUUUUUAAAUCAGAGCUUAGUAAGAGAAAAUAA
rnacentral:lncRNA from 1 species